rnacentral:rRNA from 1 species
CUAUAAGUCAAUGAUUGACAGAGCCUAGGGGCAACCCGAAGCGCGCCACCGGACAGUCUGCCUAGAAAAGUCACCCGCCCUUUCCCAGUUUGCCCGUACCGCAUACCGACACAGGUGGGUGAGUGUAAGCGCACUCAGGCGCGCGAGAGAGCCCUCUCUAAGGAACUCGGCAAAUUAGCCCCGUAACUUCGGGAGAAGGGGUGCUCACUUCGGUGAGCCACAGUAAAUUGCGUUUAGCGACUGUUUAACAAAAACACAGCACUCUGCCACGUCGUGAAGACAACGUAUAGGGUGUGACAAGUGACCAAUGCGGAAAGAUCAAGGCAAGGGGUUAGUCCCGCGCAAGCGGGUCGAAGCUCCGAACCUAAGUCCCCGUGAAUGUCGGCCGUAACUAUAACGGUCCUAAGGUAGCGAAAUUCCUUGUCGGGUAAGUUCCGACCUGCACGAAUCUUGUAACGACUGAACGACUGUCUCGGAGAGGAACUCGGCGAAACUGUAAUUGCGGUGAAGAUGCCGCAUGCCCGCAGUAGGACGGAAAGACCCUAUGCACCUUUACUGUAAGCUCGUAUUGGCUUCUGGUUAGUGAUGCUUAGCGUAGGUGGGAGACUUUGAAGGCGUGGCUUCGGUUGCGCUGGAGUCGAAAUGUGAAACACCACUCUUUGUUAACUAGGAGUCUAACCUCGAUUCCUGUUAGCCAGGCGAGGAACAGUGCGUGCGGGUCAGUUUGGCUGGGGCGGCUUCCUCCCAAAUGGUAACGGAGGAGCGCGAAGCUUGGCUCAGCACGGUUGGCAAUCGUGCGGCGAGGGUAUGGCUAGAAGCCAGGUUGACUGCGAGACAUACAAGUCGAGCAGAUGCGAAAGCAGGCCCAAAUGAUCCGAUGGUUGAAUGUGGAAUUGCCAUCGCUCAACGGACAAAAGGUACGCUAGCGAUAACAGGCUGAUCGGAUCCAAGAGUUCACAUCGACGAUCCGGUUUGGCACCUCGAUGUCGGCUCAUCGCAUCCUGGGGCUGGAGAAGGUCCCAAGGGUCCGGCUGUUCGCCGGUUAAAGCGGUACGCGAGCUGGGUUCAGAACGUCGUGAGACAGUUCGGUCCUUAUCCACUGUGGGCGCAGGAGACUUGAGGGGUUCAUUCUUUAGUACGAGAGGACCGAGAAUGACGCACUUCUGGUGUGGCAGUUGUCCCGUCAGGGGCAGCGCUGCGUAGCCAUGUGCGGAAGAGAUAAGCGCUGAAAGCAUCUAAGCGCCAAGCUCCUCCCAAGAUUAAGUCUCCCUUCCGCGCAAGCGGGACUGAAGACCCCUGGCAGACCACCAGGUUGAUAGGCUGGGCGUGCAAGCGCCGCGAGGCGUGAGCGGACCAGUACUAAUCGGUCGAGAGGCUUGAUUGC